rnacentral:lncRNA from 1 species
CCAAUAAUGUAAAUAAAAAUUUAAAAACCAAAAUAAAAAUUAUAUAUAUAUAUAUAUAAAAGCACCGGUCGAAUAUACUGUGAGAGAAAGCACAGUAAUGCCUGUUGGCGCAUAGUAUAAUUGUGGUAGUUGCUCAGCGUUGCGCACGUGUGAUAAUCACAGCCGCACAGGCUAGCUAGCUUUGUGCCAGAGCUAGCAGUGUAGAAUGGCGUCAAGAGACACCCAAGAGCAAGCUUUUACAGUGGAGAUCAUUGACAAGGUUCGCUGGGACUCCUAAUCAACUUGCAUCUGUCCGAUGCCCUUCAGACAGGCGACGCGCCACCCUUUUGCUCGUAAUCAAGGAGAUUUUGGUAUUUCGCCAAAAUAACUGCCAUUUACGGUGGCCGUGAUUCAUCAUCAUCGGGAAGAUCGACAUGUAUUACCAGCAGAUGUCAUGUCUGUCUGUCUGUCGAGCUCUCCCACAAUCUGAAAGAAUGAUGGGCUGUAAAGCUCGCGCCCUUUAUUCUCAUACUCGAUUCCAUGGCAACAGCUGCUCCUUCAACGGAUCCUCUCGGCUUCGGGGGAGGAGAAAGUGGAAGCUUUAACACCCCUUUUGUAUGACCCCUGACAAUGACAUUUUGUCCCAGGCCUCCACGUUCUAAAUUCCAUUCCUCUGCGUGCCCUAAUACUGCUUCUCUUCGGAAAAGAGAUUCCACCGUUGAUCUUGGAUUGUAUGGUUAUAAUUUGCUGUGGGUCAUUUGUUGUUGUUUCAUAGUCAAUGUUCCCAGGAGCUUUAAAAAACUUUAUGUUUGGGGACUCUUGAAGGGUCGUUUUCGUUGAGAGCUGCCUAACUUCUAGGGCGAAAACGUAGAGCGGUCCUUGUUCCGAAGGGACUGACCCUACUGUUUAUGUGUGUGUGUGUAUUAUUUAUUCAG